AUGGGCUGCCGGCAAACCCUGGCUGAUACGGUUCAUCUACAGCUCUUGGAAGCACAAGGCUCCUGUCCCUGCCCCUGGCCAUCUCCGCAGGUCUGGAGUCCUGGAGGCUGGAGGCUCUUGGAGGAGAGGACUAUCGCCUUGAGAAACCCACCUCCAGGUAUGUGUUGUCAUCUUCCAGGUGUAUGUAGCAGCCCUCCAGGUAUGUUCAUCUGUCCUCAGGGUAUGUUACAUAGUUGUCCUCCAGAACUCAUAGAACUAAUUCUUGGUCAUACACUUUUCUUUCUUGGGGACCAGCGACUGACAGUAACUCCCAGACUGCCUCUCCCUAAGGUCAGGGGCAUACUUGGAUGGUCUCUAAGUCCCAGGUUGUGCCCAGUUAAGAGCUCAGUUAAGCAGGCUCAGGAUCCCACUCAGGUCUCCUAUGGGUCAGAGAUAUUUGAGAAGGGAGUGGGUGGUAGAGGUUAGGGGAUUAUUCCUGGCGGUAUUUUCUCCUCUGAUCCCACUGCCAGGAGAAGGCAUCCAGCCUGGCCUCCUGGAAGUGUGGGGGUAGGUGAUCCCAGGCUGGAUAACAACCCACCCCCAACACAAAAAGUGCUCCUGCCUAGGCUCAGCCUCCUCCACCCACCCCCUCCGGCCACCUCCCAAAUCCCCAAUCCCAGCAGCAAACCUCCGUGUUUGCCUGUUGCCAUGGCAAUGGGAUGCACCUUUCUGUUACCAUGGCAACAAGCCAGGGGUUUUUAAAAUUCAGUUGAGGUAAUUUCCACCCCUCAAUCCUCAUCCUCAGACACCUCAUUCUUCUCUUUUCUUCUCUGAAUCUUAGAAGGGAGGGGUUAGAAGACCAGAGGGGCCAGUUGGAAGACUUGGGCCCCAUCCCUCCCCAACUCCUUCAUGUACCCUAGACCCCAGAGAAGAGGGCACCCUCUUCCCCAUUCCCUGUCCAGAUCCAGGUCCACAGGGGAAAGAUGAGAGCUUUGCGUGGCUGGGCAGACAGAGGCCAGCACACUUGGGAAGCCUGGUUGAAAGUACAGCCUGUGUGGCUUUGCAGGAGCAGAGAGAGUCAUCAGGAACCCUCCCAGACCUCCCCUCCAUAUCUCCAGGGCUCAUGUGAGGAUCUCAGUCCGCUGGGACCCAGACCCCAGGACAAUAAGGCACAGAUGUUGUUUAUACCGUGUCCUGGUAUUAAAGAGCUUAGCUUAGGGAACCCUGUGCUGGCUGGAUUUGGGCAGAGGGCAUCUGAGAAGGAUUGAGGAGAGGGAUGCAGACACUGUCCAGUCCCUGCCCCUCCGCUCCCCCUAGUGUCCUCUCUGCUCAGGACCCUGCUUCAUUAGUCUGGUCAUUGUAAAUUCUUGAGGCCCAGCAUCCCCUCCUCGCCCCACCUGCCUCCUGACUGGGAGAAGAGGAGCCAACCAUGCAGGACAGACAGGUGGUUGCCCCUCUGAGCAGAGUAGACUGGGUCUAAAAAAUGAUGGGGCCCCAAGCCCCAUGCAGUACCCCAUCAUGCCUCACGUUCAUGUAAUUCCUUUACACUUUGACUUGUCUCUGUAGCAGAUCCAUGCCCCACAGGCGGUGCCUCCCCCAGAGAAAAGCUUUCAAGCAGAAGAUGGGGAGAGUCCUGCAACAAGGCCGCCCUCCCCGCCUCCCCUGUGCUCUCCCUAUGGCUGUGCUCCCACCCUAUCAGUCAUUUGGGCAGAGGGGCCCUUCUUCCCCAGGAUGGAUGUAGAGUGCCAAAACCAAGCACUGCAGGGCCAGCAGAUAGGGGCCAAGGCCAGAGGGAAGUCACUUCCAUCUUACCUGUCCUUGAGCUCAAGAGUUGAGACUGUAUAGUAACAGCCCUUCAGAGGCCAUAGAUGGGCAGGCCAACCUUGGGGAGGCCACAGAGAACCCCCGGAACAAGAUAGAGGGGUGUUAUGGCCAGCCUACCACCACCCGCCCACUUUUCUUUCAGUCCCUAUCCUUCCCAGACACCCAGAUCCAGGAAGCCCCAGGCUAGGCUGGGGAGGAGAGAACCCCAGCCCAAGCCCUAGGUGAGAAUGAGAAUGUCCCAGGUGGAGCACUUCCUCUCUACAGCCUGUGACCCCCCACCCCCAAGGUAAUGACACCCAGACAGAGCCAGACCCCUCUCUCCCCCAACCAUCUAUGGCUCCUAGGCUCCUGAAGAGCUUCCUGGUAUCAGGGAACUGAUACUGAACCACACUACACCUCUACCAAGGCCUCCACACUUGAGAGCCUGUAGCUAAAGUACUGAGGAGCAGGGCUGCCUGAGAUUUCUCUUGUGAGCAGCAGGCAUCUGGUGAGCCUCACUCAGUGAGAACUGGGGGCUUGGCAUCAGCUAGAGGACUGUUCAGACCCUCCAAGAAGGUCUGCUGGCCCUGGCAGGCUGGUGCAGCACUGAAGCCCCCAUCUUGAGUCAGAGGAGGAGUGCAGGUGAGAGGGGGACCAGCAGGGCAAGAUGGGUGUCAGCAGCAUGGGAAUAGAAACCACCCCACCCAGGAUACCUGAUGGUCUAGUUUCUAGGCACCAUCUCUAGGGUCAGAGGCAACACCCUGUCCCUCAUAUCCUGAGUACCCACAUCAGGCAGGGACCAGGCCUCACACUCCAGAGAUGGUGUGCCUGGACCAGCAUGACACCCGAACAUCAAAAGGCCCCAAAUUGCCCUGCCUCGGUGAAGAGGGGUCCCUGGAGCUUUAGAACCAGGAAUCUGGGCCUAGAAGCCUGACUCCCCAGGGGGUAUUUGAAAGAGAAGCUGAGGAAAUGCCAGCAACUGUUUAUAGCCCGUGGGAUAUACCAGCCCCAUCUCCUCCUGCCAGCCACCUGCAAGUUGUGGGGGUGAGCAUCCCUGCUCCAGAGCAGGAGACCCCAAAGGUUCAGAGACAGCAGACCUGUCUGAAAUCCCACAGCUCACCAUCUGCACAGCCCUGGGAGCUGGGAGCAAGGCCAGUGCUAACCCAGGGUACAGUGUUGUAAGGGAAGGGCACCGGGAUGGGGACAUUUACUCAGAAGGCCAGGGCAGGGCUUUCAACCCAGGCCAGGCUUGGCAGGCCUGGUCAACAGGAAAGGGUGGUUGAAUAGGCCUUCUGGUAGGAGAGUGGAGUUCAGUUCCCUCUGCAUGGAGCUAAGGCUGUCUGAGUAUAGGGGUAUAGGGGUGGUUGCUAAGGGGCGGUUGCUGAGGAUAUGAAUUGUCCCAUCAGCUAUUUAGGCGAUCCAGCCAUAGGGGCAGGGAGCAGGCCAGAGCUGG
rnacentral:lncRNA from 1 species